CAAACUCUUCGUCUUUCUGGGCACCUGCUCUCACCAUCCUUUCAAGGUUUUCCUAUCGCAUGCAAGCAAUUUUUGCAGGUGGUUUAAGCAAAGCAGAAUUUGAUCACGAGAAGUGUUGUGUAAGCACCCACGCCCAAGAGAAGCUUUUGCAAAACACACAUAUAUGUGCCAAUGGAAGUACAAAGUCUUGUUUGGGGUGAGAUCUGUGGGUAAAAAUGUGCUGUCUUCCUGAUCUUUGAGUAUUCCUGGCAAAAGGAUCUUAAGAAAGAGGAAGAAGAAAAUUUGAAUUAAAAAAAAAAAAGAGAGGAAAUUACAUGACCCUGCAUCAGUUUCACAGUGAGUGCUCAGAUGCAGAAGACUCCACACAUCUGUCACCAGAGCUUGCUUUCUUGUAUAAGAGAGAAAAGUACUGAAAAUAGUGCCUGCCCAACCUUUGCUGUGCACUGAGGAACAUAGAAUCAUAGAACAGUAAGGGUUGGAAAGGACAUUUAGAUCAUCUAGUUCCAGCCCCCUGCCAUGGAUGUGGUCUCUCUCAAAGAGAUAGUGAUUUUGGGAUUCCCUGCAGCCUCCUCACCCAUCAACUCUGAUGUUUGUGUCUGCAGGCAGCAGCACAGAGGGAUUGCCCCCACCAUCCCUCAGGGGGUUCGAAAUGCCCCAUAAUGGAAGCUGUCAUGAAUACUGUAGCAGGGACGCAGUGGAAAUAUCCAUGGACGUGGUGCGUCAUGAGCUGGCUCAUUGGAGGCGAUAAUCACAAUGUGUAGCACAGGCAGCAUUCCUCUGCCUUGAGGUCAGCAUCCCAAACUAGUCAGAAUGAUGCCAACAUUUUGACACACCUGCCAGUAAUGUCAUUAAAAGCCUCAUCUCCAAGAAGUCAGCACCAAAGCCUCGUCCUUUACUGCCUUUUUGUCAUCCCCAGCCAUCAGGAAUACUACCCAUGGGGAGGAGCAUGGGUCAAGGCCAGGUUGGGACACCAGCAUGUGGACCUCUGCAUGUGGGUGGGGGCCACAGUCAGGCAUGGUGAGGGAUUUCCUGACAUGUGGCAGCUCCACUCCACUGUCAGCCUGCUAUUUCUAGAACAGAGUGAGUGGACUCUGGACAGAAAACAGUAUCAGCAAGGCUAUAAUGGAAAAGAUAUCACUACACAUAGUGCAAUACAAUGCAGUAUUGUAUUGUGUAAGAUUUUACUGCUGUGGUUAUUGAGAGCUCUAGGUGGAACAAGCAACAAGGGAAGACAAGGGAAAAGCCUAUGGAGAAAAAAAAUCAGAGCAGGCCCCUCUGAGAUGCUGCUGCCCGGGACCUCCAUGCUUGGGUGUGAUGCCACACCACUGCCAGCCCUUUUUGCCAGCAUUAAGAAAACCUGCUCAGAGGACAGUGAGACGCUGUUUCCCCCUCCUUGCACCACAGAAUUUGUCUAUACAUAAUUGUACUUAGGAUUAUUAAAAUAUCUUUAAAUCUCUC
rnacentral:lncRNA from 14 species